rnacentral:snRNA from 1 species
GCACUCGCUUCAGCAGCACAUAUACUAAAACUGGAACGACACGGAGAAGAUUAGCAUGGCCGUGGCGCAAGGAUUACACGCAAAUUCGUGAAGUGUUCCAUAUUUUU